GUGCUAGCUUCAGCAGCACAUACACUAAAAUUGGAAGGAUACAGAGAAGAUUAGCAUGGCUCCCGUGCAAGGAUGACAUGCAAAUUCAUGAUGUGUUCCAUAUUUUA
ensembl:snRNA Rnu6-ps2 U6 small nuclear RNA, pseudogene 2